ACGAUGCUCCUGUAAUACCUCAAUUUUUAACAAUCAUAUGUAUGUUUUAAGAAAAGUAUGUUUCCAGUUUAAAACAAUGUAAAUUUAGAAACACAAUCCUUUCAGAAAUUGAGAACUGCCUACUGUGCUAGUGGUCUUUGGAAAACAUUUACAAAGUUAUGGCUAAGACAACAGUUUUACAGCUGUUGGUUUAAUGACUCAUAUUUGAAACCCAAGAUUGUGUGUUUGUGACUUUGAACCAAACCCCCCAGCUAAGAUGGCAGGUUAUAACCAUUUUCUUCCCCUUUCACUCUCUGAGCAGUCCCCAAACAGAAACUCUACAAAAGAACGAACCUGAAGAUUAUUUCUACCUGUUCACAUGCUAUCCUAACGCUGUAUUCAUGCCUAUGAAGUCUCUUCGUGCAUAGGGCAGGAAAGGGUGUGUGACAGGUGGCUCCUUGAUUUUCUUCUAUUCUUGUGAUGAGAAAGUGGUGCUGAAUGGCUGGACUACAAUAAUUCCAUUUCAUCUUUGUGACAUUCAAGUCCUCAGCAGCUCACAUCUAGGCUGGGAUGGCCACCUACCUGGUCUUCCCAUCUCUAUUUUGUGAUAAGGCAGAGACAAGGAGCCUGAUGAUGUAGCCUACCCAGGUCAGCUUCCCGGGUCAGAGUGGAGAAGUGAGUCAAAUUGGUCAAGAAAUUUCACCUUCUCACCUGGAUGAAUUAAAAGACCUGACAUUGAGAUGACCACCUAUGUCCAUGCCCUGGUGUCAAGAAUCAACUUGAGAAUGGGUCUAUCACAUUUGA